GGUGGUUCAGUGGUAGAAUGCUCGCCUGCCACGCGGGCGGCCCGGGUUCGAUUCCCGGAUUAAAACU